rnacentral:snRNA from 1 species
GGAUGUGAGGGCGAUCUGGCUGCGACAUCUGUCACCCCAUUGAUCGCCAGGGUUGAUUCGGCUGAUCUGGCUGGCUAGGCGGGUGUCCCCUUCCUCCCUCACUGAUCCAUGUGCGUCCCUCCCGAAGCGUCAUGCUCUGUGGAAGAGGACGACCUUCCCCUCUUCCUCCUCCUCCUCCGCCCAGGAGAGGGCCAGUCUUCGGUCAAGGGCUCCCCUGCUAGAACCUCCAAACAAGCUCUCAAAACCAUUGAAAUAGAGUUUAAUUUGAUUUAUAAAAAUAGAUAUUUUAU